GGGCGUAACUCCUAAUAUCAUUCUGACACACUAAACGGAUCUUGACCCGAUCUGAAACUUUUAAACGUUACUUUUUAUGAUUUGUCUAGGUUUGUCCAAAACAGUCUUAACAGACUGGAUUUAACGCUAGAGCAUAUCAAAAGGCGUAAGAGAAUGCCGACUAAUAGCCAGUCAAGAUCGUUUAACUAAACCUACCCGUUGUUAUCGCAAACUAAAAUUUAUCUCAUAUAUACAGGAUACAUGUUCAUUUAUUACAAGAAUUUUUGUACGUCAAGGUGUAUGAUAGCACGAUAAUAUACGAAUCGUAACAACGCUUCAAUAUGCUCGUCUACUAUAUGCUCUUCCACAAUUUACGCCUGUUUUGCUCCAGCGACCGGUAUUACAGUUUAACAUAGUUUAAAAGCUCAUUGAUCUGUUACUUUAUUUACAAUUUUGAGCAAGACUUAACUGUUUAUUAUUAAAAUUCAACAAAUGUCAACAUUAUCUUCAUCAAUUUUAUUAUUUAACAAAACAUUGUUUUUCAUUACAAGCAAUUUCAUAUAUUAAUAUACAGCUAGU
rnacentral:lncRNA from 1 species